CGGGCGGUAGCGUAGUCCGGUAUCGCGCCUGCUUUGGGAGCAGGAGGCCGGGGGUUCGAAUCCCCCCCGCCCGACGA
rnacentral:tRNA from 1 species